GUGCAGCAGGCCACUAUUUGAAUGUGUGUUGCUCCUUGUGGCAGGUAUACUGUUCCAAUGCCCUGGGAUCUCUGUAGUGGUCGGUACUGUAUUGAUUAUAAAUGGUGAAGUCCUAGUAUCUUGCUAGAGUGAGCUGGCCAGGAUGGUGGAGCUCUACCACCAUUUCACAGGUUAUAGACAGGGGCCACCAGGUUUCAGGAAAGCAGCAAUGACCCCUCAGUAAUAGUUGGAAAGUGUGAUAUGACACUGAGCUUCACUGUGUUGGUGAAGAAGAGGUGAGGAAAAUAAAAGCUGCAGUUUGCCUCCACCUCUGAAGAAGCACAAUACACCUUUCUGGGUUACCAAUGGGAUACUUCCCAACAGCUUUGUCAUCACAUACAAUAUUCUCAAACAAGAUCUUAAUGGCAUCUACUUUCUCCAGGAACACAGCCCCUGACCUGUGUGUGUUUGCGUAGAGAAGGCAUGCUAUGUACCCCCUAGGAUAUGAAAGAGAGGAUCCAUUUGCUUCAAAGAGCCCAUCAGCAAGCUGUCCUUCCUGUUUUAUCACAAGAUUCCUGUAGCAGAUUGAGCUCUGGCAGUUGAUCUCAGUGGCUUGAUAGAGUGUCAUUAUAAAAACGCACCUGGAAGAUUCUGUGGAAAAGACAACCUCAGAAGACCAAGAGGCUGACUUUGCAAGAGAGAGUCCGUUUACCACUUAGAACCGUGAACACCACCCCCGCCCUCAUUUAUCUCCAGACUUGAACUAGUGGUUAAAUCCCAACAUGUCCCAGAGAAGUCAAAAGCAUUGUAAAAUCUGGGAAUCUGCCCACCACUCAAGCCUGGGAAAGCUGGCAGAGGAUGCACGUGUUUUACUCACCUGAGUGUUUACAAUGCUCGUGAGGUGCCUCCCUGAUAUUUUUAUAGCAGAAUGGAGAAACACAACCAAGGAGAUACACCUAAGUAACAACAGCAAUGAUGUCAAAAAGAGUGCCUGAAUACUUAGGGUGGAGGUCCUGGACAUGCAAACCCAAGCUUCCUCUUUGCUGUGGCCAGGAAUCUGCAGUGAUUGAGAGCACAGACUGUAUCUAAAAUUCCACCUUUCAAAGUUCAGCAUAUUACUUUUUUUUUUCUUACACCUAUAAUAGAGGGAAAGAAAGGAUGUUCCUAUCCAUUCUUAAGGUACAGAGGAAUGAAGAAGGAAUAAACAGACCUUCUGGAUAAUUGCAUCAGCCUUCCCCACUAUUCCAAUGCCAUGCUAACAUUUCAAGUAAUGUCCCUUUUGUCUUGCUGAGAAAAAAUCAUUUCAUGAUUUAUUACACUGGAUUAAAGGCUAUGCACACUCUGGAGUUGGAACAUGACUGAAGGGCAAGCAAGCAUAAAGGAUAUCAGAAACAGUUGAUGUGUUUAAAUUUUUCUGAAUUUCUCAAGUAAACUUUUUAGAAAGUAGUCUGAAGAUAAAAUGGUUAUAUAAGUUACUUAAACUGUAGAUGAUGGCACCUUUAUCCCUAUAUAAUAAAAUUAAGAUAACUCUUCUGGGCACUUUAUUUGGAAUUAAUUAUUUAAUCCUCAUAACAACGCCAUGAAGAUCAUACUAUUACCAUCCAAAGUUUACUGAGGAAGAUACUGAGGCAAGAUUUACAAUCCAAAGCAGAGUGGGAGGAAGAGACCUACAAGACCAUGUUUCAUUGGAUAGCUUUGGAGUAAUAUCUAUAAUUUUAGAAAAAAGUUAAGAGGAAGAAGAAACUGGUGUCAGCUACACUUAGAAGAUUUUACAACAGAGACUGGCUUCCAUUCACUGAUCAGACAUUCACUGAUUUUUAAUUCUUACCACCAGAGAAAAAGUUGUUAUGAUGAGGGUCCUCAGGAAAGACAAUACAGUCAGCCGAGAAAUACAAUUUUCUUUGUCUACUGUUGUUUCCUUUACACGGACCAUUGAAAUAUAUACUUAACCACCAGCAAAACUCCUAUUAAACACAAGUAAAAAAAAAUCACUACAUGCAAAAGAGUGAACACCAGGCAAAGUGAUAAUUUAUGAAUUUCCAGGAUUUUUGUUGUAAUUUACCCGUGUAAGUUUACAAUAAAUGAUUGAUGUAACUAAA
rnacentral:lncRNA from 1 species